CCUACGGGAGGCAGCAGUGAGGAAUAUUGGUCAAUGGACGAGAGUCUGAACCAGCCAAGUAGCGUGAAGGAUGACUGCCCUAUGGGUUGUAAACUUCUUUUAUAUGGGAAUAAAAUGUUCCACGUGUGGGAUUUUGUAUGUACCAUAUGAAUAAGGAUCGGCUAACUCAGUGCCAGCAGCCGCGGUAAUACGGAGGAUCCGAGCGUUAUCCGGAUUUAUUGGGUUUAAAGGGAGCGUAGGUGGAUUGUUAAGUCAGUUGUGAAAGUUUGCGGCUCAACCGUAAAAUUGCAGUUGAAACUGGCAGUCGUGAGUACAGUAGAGGUGGGCGGAAUUCGUGGUGUAGCGGUGAAAUGCUUAGAUAUCACGAAGAACUCCGAUUGCGAAGGCAGCUCACUGGACUGCAACUGACACUGAGGCUCGAAAGUGUGGGUAUCAAACAGGAUUAGAUACCCUAGUAGUC
rnacentral:rRNA from 1 species